rnacentral:rRNA from 1 species
CACGGGGGGAGCAAGCGUUGUUCGGAAUCACUGGGCGUAAAGGGCGCGUAGGCGGCAUGGCAAGUGGAUGGUGAAAUCCCUCGGCUUAACCGAGGAACUGCCGUCCAAACUGCUUCGCUUGAGACCGGGAGAGGUGAGUGGAAUUCCCAGUGUAGCGGUGAAAUGCGUAGAUAUUGGGAGGAACACCAGUGGCGAAGGCGGCUCACUGGACCGGUACUGACGCUGAUGCGCGAAAGCGUGGGGAGCAAACGGG